UGCAAGUGUCUUUUUCAUACAGUGACUUCUUUUCCUUUGAGUAGAUAGUAGUGGGAUUGCUGGAUGAAAUAGUAGAUCUGCUUUUAGUUAUUUGAGAAAUCUCCAUACUGUUUUCCACAGAGGCUGUACUGAUACUGAUUUACAUUCCUACCAGCAGUGUGCACCUAUUCAUUCUUCAAGAUUUAGCUAAUGUGCUUCUUCCUCUGAGAUGGAGUUUUGCUCUGUCGCCCAGGCUGGAGUACAAUGGUUCCAUCUCUGCUCGCCUCGACCUCUGCUUCCUGGGUUCAAGCAAUUCUCCUGCCUCAGCCUCCCAAGUAGCUGGGAUUACAGACUAUGCAUGGAAAACAGAGUCCUGUGUUGCCAACAUUGGGAAAAUGUUCCUUCCGAGGUGCUCUGCAAGCCUUCUGUUUACCACGAACUUGCUUAAACACAUUCAAAAUUUCAUACUCAAGAUUUUUCUCAAAGCAGAGAAAAUCUGUUAGUAGCAGAAUUAGAAUUGUCAUGAAUGAUAUGUUGUUAUUAUAGUGUACAAUAUGAAGAUUUUUUCUUCUGAAAAUACCAUGUAAUACUUACCAUUCUUAUUUGUUUAUUUAUUUAUUUAUUUAUUUAUUUAUUUAUUUAUUUAUUUAUUUAUUUUUGAGACAGAGUCUCGCUCUGUUGCCCAGGCUGGAGUGCAGUGGCGAGAUCUCGGCUCACUGCAAGCUCCACCUCCUGGGUUCACGCCAUUCUCCUGCCUCAGCCUCCCGAGUAGCUGGGACUACAGGCGCCCGCCACCACGCCUGGAUAAUUUUUUGUAUUUUUAGUAGAGCCGAGGUUUCACCGUGUUAGCGAGGAUGGUCUCGAUCUCCUGACCUCGUGAUCUGCCUGCCUUGGCCUCCCAAAGUGCUGGGAUUACAGGCGUGAGCCACCGCGCCUGGCCCUUACCAUUAUUUUUAAAAUAAAGAACAUUUUAUUUUUUCAUUGCUCUCAUAAAUUAAUACGAAACUAAUCAUUGAAAUGUUUUAAAAUGC
rnacentral:lncRNA from 1 species